GACAGAGGUGCCAAGCGUUAGGCGGAAUCACUGGGCUUAAAGCGUGUGUAGGCGGGCGGGCAAGUACCUUGUGAAAUCCCACGGCUCAACCGUGGAACGGCUGGGUAUACUGCCUGUCUUGAGCCAGCUAGGGGCGACCGGAACAGACGGUGGAGCGGUGAAAUGCGUAGAUAUCAGGAGGAACACCAGCGGCGAAGGCGGCGCUCUGGGCCGGAACUGACGCUGAGGAGCGAAAGCGUGGGUAGCAAAUAGG
rnacentral:rRNA from 1 species